rnacentral:lncRNA from 1 species
GCCUACAACUGCGCCACAACACGCGCAUUUUGUUUGGUAAAGCCUUCUUGACUAGGUACCGUAGUUAUUAACAAAUGUGACAUUUUCGCUGUUACUUAGCGUAGAGAUGCCAACUCAGCUGAAAUAAGCAUUCUUUUGUGUUAAACUACGUAACUGACGAUGAUAAUAACAAUACCCUGCCACCUAACGAUAACCUUGUUGUGGCUUUCAUAAUGGACACGUCAGCUUGAUCGUUUCUUAUAGCUAUAAUGUUAAUCUUAUUGCAUACGAAUCGUAAGCAAUUCAGUACUCGAGUAAAAGCAACAAUCGCAAAAAAAAAAGCUGAGGCAACAAAUCAUGUAGGCGUCGAAAGACAAGCUAGCAGGUAACGUAAGAUAGCUACUUUAUCUGAUCAAUUUAAACUACUUCCAUACUACAUUCGUCACACGAGACCUGUUACAUAUUAGUCUUAGCUAUCAUUCGUCAGUUCUAAAAUUAAAGUAACCUAAUAAGAGAUUCAGGAAAAAUAAAUUUUGACGAAACCGAACCGUUAACCAACGCAGCACAGUAAAACGGCAUCAAUAAAGAGUUUGGAGUUGGAAGGGGGUUGCGGGUGGUAGUUAUACACGAGUUGUGAUGCGGCUAACGUCACCAUGAGAAUACCUCCGACCUAGUGAUUCACGAAAUAGGGCCACAUUCGUCGCGCAUUUAUGAAAUGGCUGCGAACUUUUACUUACACUUUGUUUUACUUCACCGUGAAACACAAGCGUACAAACCUACUUAUUUUAAUGUAUGGUCAUGAAAAAAGGGUUUUGGUAAAUGUGGGAGUCUAUCAAAAUGUACUUACUUGCAUUGCUUUCAUCUCAACCAUGAACCAACCUACCUAUGUACAUUUGUUAACAACAGCAUCAAACUUGCCAAUCAUAAUACAGUACUGUAAAUAUUGCCAUUAUGUAUUAUGACGUGUUCUCAUUUCUCGAGUUACAAAGGCUGCUGUUGUAAGAGGGAGUCAGUCAUUCGACAUACUUUUCGAAUAACAACAGCUGACGUCAACGCAUUUGGUGCUCGGAUAAAUACAGUGCAAGAUGUGAACAGUCCAUACAAACCGGAUUAAACUGGAAUUCACUGGUUCUUUCUACCGGGUCUACUUCCCUUAUACUGCAUUGCUGAAUUUGAAUUUGCUUAAUGUCGAACAUUAUGUAGCCUACCAACCAAUAAUUCUCACUCGGUUUUUAAACAUUGUAACAACUAGACAUUUGUAGAAGAGCUAGUUGUUAACUAUGGGAGAGCAAACCAGUUUCCUUUUACUUAAAAAAAAUAAGCGGAGGAGCUGUGAAAUGACUCAUCAUGGGCAUUCCAAAUAUAACAUCAGAAAAAAACUCAAGAUGGCUACAGUAGCCCAUAACAAACCUGUACGGUCUAUAUGCUGUAAAAGAAAAGUGAUGAUAAUUAAUGUAGCCUACAUCAGCAACCAAACCACUAUCUAUUCAUCAGCAGGAGAGACAUCAGGAGGGCAUCGACGACCUCCCUGCAGGGAAGAGACAAAUGAUGGAGAAGUUUUUCACUCCUGUUCAUAGUCCUUCUCCAGGUGGGAUGAAACCAGGGAAGCACCGCCAUCACAACCCCGAUCAUCACCACCAGCACCGGGAUCAAGAACGGGAGACACACAGCUACAGCAGGUUACGGGACAAUGAUAGACGCAGCAGUGAAAGCCACGGUCACCACUAUACCCAGGGUAACCAUCCCCAAGAUGACCAGGAGCAACCCCUUAGACGCCACCAUCACCAUCCUCAGCACCUUCAUCAUGACGACGAGAUGUCGGACCACCACACCACCGUUACCCUCUCCAGAGCAUCUUCCUCCUCCCUCUCAUCUUCCCCCUCCGACUCUUCCACCGAAUGGUCCUCUGAGGCCGGCAUUGACGACAAGUUCUCCAUGAAGCACGCCAGCCGGCCGCAGCAUACCAUGUCCUGCUCCAACAUUGCGGGAGGACGACAGUUCCGUGAGGACGACAGCGAGCUGCAGGUGUAUGCCACCGUCAAACAGGGGCGAAUUCACGGAGGAGGCAGUCCUGGGACCCAUCCUCGGGCCCAGGGGAGGGGAGGACGCGAGCCCAGCUACUCCGAGCUAAACCGGGGCCACAGCCGCAGUGAAGAGGGGCUGCUGCAGAACACAGGAGCUGACAGAGGGAAAGUACAGACACCCCCACACCUGAAGCACGGAUCCCUCUACAAGACAGCCAGCCUGGGCCGGAGCCUGGCCUUCAGUGAAGAGGUCUUGGCUGGGCCGAAGAGGGCGGUGUCCUUUAUCCAGCUCCCCAGUAAAGGCAUCCUGAAAAACAAGGAGGCUCCACGGGACAUCCGCAAGGCCAAGUCCAUGGAGGUGCUGUCCCCCCGGGUGGCAGGCAAGGCGGCAGGGCCCAAGGGGAAGCAGGAUGUGGAUGCUCUGAAGGAUGCAGCCAGGCAGAGCAUGGUGAAGGGGAAGAUACAGUUCUCUGCAUUCCUGGAUGAGAUCACUAAACAGGUCAUCAGCCCCGCUCGUCUCAAUACUCUGGGGGUCCCUGUCGAGACGGUAGGACCAUGUCCAGCCAAAGCCCCAGCAUCCCCCAAAUCUCAACCGAAAAGUCAGCCCCAGCUUCCCUCGAAAAAGCAGGGAGAUGGGCAGGGGGAAGAGAGGGAGCCGGCUACUAAACCGCAGGCUCUGCCUAGGAAACUGAGGAAUGACUCUGACACACGGUCACGGAAAAUAUGUCUCCCUGCAAAGUUUGGGUAUGAAAGCAAGAACCACACUCCUCGUCUAGGCAGCCCCCCAACCCUCCACUCCAGCCAACCCUACCCGCCCCACCCACCAGCUGGCUAUGAAGACCAACCAGCUUCCCUGCCUGACUUCCAGGGUCCUGUCGGUAAUAGGCAUGGGCGGUAUGGCCCGCUUCUUACAGAUGGCACUGUCAGCUCCAGCCCUGAGCCCAGCCAUCACAAACACCGGAGCUACAAACACCUUGACCAGAGCCACAGGCCCAGCCAUAGCCCACCUUCAUCUCCACACACCCAGCAGCCCCAGCUACCCCACCACGCCCCGAUCCACACACAUUCUCCUCCUCCAGUACAAGGGCCAGAGUCGGAGUCUCCCUCCAGCAAGUCGGACUCGUCCCGGAACAGAGAACGAGACACGGCCAGCCCCAACUCCGAGCAGAGCGACCGCCACAGCCAGUCAACCUACCGCUGGUGUCCUACUUCAUAUAGGGCCCUGACGGGUGACAUAGGCGAACUCCAGACACUGCAGGAGCAGAAUGCUGAGCUGCACCAGAACCUGAUGCAAACAGUGGUCUGCAUCGAGAGCCUGGAGGCGGAGCUAGCCAGGGCCAGGGAGGAGCUUAGCCACAUGAAGGAGAAGUUCAAGAGGCUCCAGGACACACACACAGGUACCCAGCACACCAACAGCCUUCUGGGGGAGAAACUGCACUCAGCGACUGAGAGCCUUAGCUCUGAGAGGAAGUAUAUGGUGCAGCAUAUCGCCCAUCUCAGCACAGAGCUGGAGCAGGCCAACGCCACUAUCGCCUCUCUGGAGAACAUCAAUGUUCCCUGUCUGAUCAAGGAGCUCCUGGAGAAGCACUUUGACUCUGGAGACGCUGUCAAGCAGUUCCUGAAGAACGCCUUGAAAACUGGCCAAUCUACGGGCGACAUCCAAUCACCGGGUCCAAAACUGGAGCAGAAGCCGUCUGAUUGGUCAGGCGUAGGACUGAGGGAGUUUGAGGCGGGUCCACAAAAGGUCACUGCUUUUAUGCCCUGGAAGCAGGAGGAGGAGGGGUUUGGGGUGAUAGGUCAGACAGGAAAUGAGGAUUCUGGCUCAAUGAGUCCCCCUUUCUCCGUUGCUGACAUCAGUAUGGCUAUCUAUAAGAAGCUAGCUGUCAGCCAAGCAGCAAGACAGCCCCGGCCUUCCAACUACCAACCUCACACUGACACCCCUCCCAACCCCUACCCGCUGGUGGAGUUGGGUGCCGGGGGUGCAGGAGGUGCAGGGGGGGAGGGUUACCUUGUGCCUGCUGUCAAGGGGUGUGUGGCAGAGGCAGGGAGAGCAGCUGAGAGUAAGCAGGGUGCUGUUGUUGAUGUGUCCUAUCUGACGGCCCAGAGGGUUUUAGAUGACUUCCUGCACCAGCUGACGCACCCAGAGGAUGGGAGUGGAGGUGGGGGGAGGGGAAACAAGGCCAACGGGGAGGGGGAAGAACUGACAAGAGGGGUGCGGAGUGAAAGGAACCUAUGAACUUCUGUAAUUGUAACCUAAUCUUGCAUAGGCUAGGAUUGUUCAAAUUGUGACGGUUUCUUUGUGAUGGUUUGUAGUUCUGCAUUUAGUUCUGCAUUUAUUUGACUCACUAAAUGUCACUAUACAUUUGAGUGAUAGCAUUGUAAAUAUUACAUUCUGUUUCCUUCCCAAAUGUCUUGUAGUGCAGUGGUAAAGAAAGUAUUAGACUUAAACAAUUAAUUUGCAUACUCACAGAAUAUAAUUAUUGAUUUAAGUUUACCAUGUGGUCCAGUUCCUUCUUUCCCUUAUGAAGUGAUGCAGAAUUGAAGGAGUUUUUGGUUCAUGUCUAGACAGUGAGUAGGAUUUUCUAUUUUAUAACAAUGACUGCUAUUUUGUAAGCUCCAGUAAGCCAUUGAAGUAACCUUCAUAUCUGAAAAACAUCAAUCCAGCUGCUACCCACUGUGUUUUGGGCUUUCAUGUCACAUGACCUAGAUUUUAACCUUUAUUUUAAGCCUUAUCCAGAGAUAUUAAUUACACCAACAAUGAAGGUAAUUGUCUGAGGAUGGUGCUGGACCAUCUGACAUAAAAAGAGAAGUGGACAGUUUGAUGAAAAUGCUUUAAAUAAAGGUUAAAAUCCAGGUCAUGUGACAUGAUUGUCCAAAACACAGGGCCCUACUUAUGAAUGCUAUGCUGUACAUCCUAAUAUACUCUCUUAGCUAAAACUGUAUAAAGUUGCUGUCACCCCCCCAAAUACAUUUCAUGUUGUAGAUCAAUAAAAGGACUGAUU